rnacentral:rRNA from 1 species
GACGAACGCUGGCGGCGUGCCUAACACAUGCAAGUCGAACGGAGUUAAUAUGGAAGUGCUUUCGGGUGUGGAAGUGUUAACUUAGUGGCGAACGGGUGAGUAACGCGUGAGAAACCUGCCUCUCAGUGGGGGACAACAGUUGGAAACGACUGCUAAUACCGCAUAAGACCACAUUCCCGCAUGAUAGAGCUAUGAAAGGAGCAAUCCGCUGUAAGAUGGCCCCGNGUCCGAUUAGAUAGUUGGUGGGUAACGGCCUACCAAGUCGACGAUCAGUAGCCGGACUCGAGAGGUUGAUCGGCCACAUUGGGACUGAGACACGGCCCAGACUCCUACGGGAGGCAGCAGUGGGGAAUAUU